rnacentral:lncRNA from 1 species
CUUUGACUGAGUCACUAUUGGCUUCUUUCUUCCUCAGCUUGCAGACGGCCUAUCAUGGGACUUCACCUUGUGAUCAAUUUCAUUCCUGCAGAAACCACAAUAAAGGGACGUGCCCUCAGUUGCCCUGUCUCCCUCUGCCUCAUGACUGACCGCGGUGCAUGACCUGAGUGGCCUUGUGUGGCCUGCUGCUUUCUCCCCAGUGAACUGUGAAUUGUUGUUUUGGGGUGAGAUAAACAUUUAAAUUGGUGAACUUUGAGAGGAAAAUUAGAAGACAAGUAUCCUCAUUUCCACCUGGAUCCAGUCUUUCUUCCUUAUUACUUUUAUUAACAAUAUCAGUUAAGGUUUAUAUGGAUGUCUUGCUUUGGCCUGUACAAAAAACUACUUUGUAUAUGCCUUAUUUUAUUAAUUUUGCUUCUGAAUUUCAUCAAAUUCUCUGAUCAUAACUCUAUAUUCUUGUAAGGAAUGCUCAGAAUUAUACUAUUUCACUCCAAAUUUUAUUAUUAUUGAGACGAAACUGGGUAUAGAAAGUUGUGGGACCAGUUUGUAAUUUAUUGCUUUAAAAUUUGGUCAAGCCACUCAAAUUCUCUAGCUGUACCUAUGAAAUAGCUUUAAUAUUUCAAUCCCCUGCAUUUUCUUUGAAUAAUAUGGAGUUUGAAUUGAAGUGGUCCUGAAUUUGAGUGCUGCAUAUGCUACUUUUGAGAUAUGUGAUCUUGAGCAAGUUGCUUAAUCACAUUAAACCUCAAUUCUCUCAUCUUUAAAAUAGAAAAAAUAAUAGCUACUUUACAGUGUUGAGAAAAGAAUAAGAUGAAACAGUUUAUUAAAAACAUAGAAGAGUGCUUAAGACAUAAUAAAGUCUACAUAAAUUGUGCCUAUUGUUAUUACUAAUAAAAAAAAAAGAAAUUCUACGUGUCAGGAAUUUGAACAAAUUACAGCUGGAUUUGCAUAUUUCUUCCACAAGAUGUAUGUGGUCCCAUCUGAUAAUAGGGAAUUGGUUGGUAACUGGAAUCUUCUUGGAAACCUCUUAAAUCACAGAUCUUGCACUUGUACUGGGAUAAUCUGGAGUGUGUGCUCCUCUGAGUUUGUUGACCAAAUCACCUACAGGUGAACUCUCCAUAUAUGUAUUUUCCUAGUCAAUUCCUACACUGACCUCAAGCAAACACUGAUCAGCUUUCUGUCAUAAUAGAUGCGAUUUACUUUUUUAGAAUUUAAUAAAACUCAAAUUAUACUGUAUGCAUCCUUUUGUGUCUGGAUUGCUUUUUUUUCUCUGCCUUACAUUGUUGAAUAUAUUCUAGGUAUGUUUUACUAAUUGCUUGGUUGUAUAUUAAUGCAUACUGCAUUUU